GAGAAGCUGAACUCGCAUGAUCCGUACUCUUCAACUACUAAGCCUACUACUCAACGCAUCUUGUUUGCGCGGUAUGCUGGUGGAUGGAGUAAACAACUAAACUCAGCCCAUCAUCUCAUAAGAACCCGCGCUAACGCGCGGGUUUUUUU
rfam:Serratia symbiotica genome assembly, type strain CWBI-2.3T, contig: SYMBAF_Contig_1